AUGGCCAGGAGCGGUGACUGCCGGAGCCGAGUCCCUGUUCCCGGAGCCCAUUCCCAGUUCCCACCCGCGAGGGGCAGCAGGAGCCGGCGGGCUCUCCUGGCACAAUGGCGCUGCCAGGAAGGGAAGCCCCUUCUCCCAGCACGGCUGGUGGGCGGAACGGAGGGGAUGGAACAUCCCGAGACACUCGCUGCCCGCGGCCGGGGCGGCGGGACGGGGACAGGCUCACUGGGUACGGCCCGGCACCCACUGGCGGAGGGCACCCAGCCGCAGCCAGCGGGACUCCCAGCACCGGGCUCCUGGAUGCUUCCCUGCCCCGGAGCCCGCUCCGAUCCCGGCACAGCGCGGGCGGCGAACAAUGGCCCGCGACCGCCCCCGGGCUGCCCCGGCCGCCACACGGCCGGGCUGCUCCGGGCCCGCCGGGCUGCUCCGGCUCUCCGGGCUGCUCCGGGCCCCCCGGGCUGCUCCGGGCCCGCCGGGCUGCUCCGGGCUGCUCCGGGCCCGCUCCGGCGCUCGGCGGCCGCCGCUCCCCGCCCCUCCCGCCUCGGCCGCCCGAGUCCCUUGAACUUUCCCCGGGCGCUCGCAACAAGCGGCCCACGCCGGGCUGCCGCUGUCCGCAGAGCCCCCCGCCCCUCCCGGCAAGUUCCCCUCAAGCACAGCCUGCCCUCGGAGCCUCCAAAAUCCCCGCAAACUGCCCGCCCGGGGAGCCCCGGCAGGGCGCCUGAGAAAAGCCCGCCGCCGCCCCCGCUCCUCUCCCGUUCACACCUCGCACAGCUCCCGCCCUCCCUCGCACGCCCACCCGCGCCCCCCGCCUCCCCACCCGCGCUCCCUCUGCCCACCCCGCCCCGGUCCGCGAACGCCCACCCCCGGCCGCUGCCCCUUCCCCAGAGCCAGAGCCGGGCUGAGGCUCCGCUGCCGCGGCUGCCAGCCCUGGGGCCGCGCCGACCCCGCCGCGCUCCUUCCCGCCGCCGGAGAGAAGCCCCUCCACAAAGGAGCGAGGCAGCGGGAGGCGGGGGACACACGCACGCCCGGCCGCUCCGUCCGGAUGCGGUGAGCCCCAGGCUCGCCUCCGGGGCCGCGCCAGUGCGGGAGGGAAGAAGCGGAGCGGCGGCGGCGGCUCUCCGGCUGCCACCAUGGGCUGCUGCACGGGGCGCUGCACGCUGA
rnacentral:lncRNA from 1 species